GGGACAUGGUCAGACGGACUCUGUUCCAUGUGAGGCUUCUCACUGAUUACAUUUAACAGAACUGUUUUAAUGAAGACGGGUGAGCAUCUGUCGCUCCAUAAACGAUCUUUGCAGUGCGACGUAAUGUCGUCAGACCUUCGAACAGACUCAACGUACAGUACAUAGGCCCGUAUCUCAGGAGAGCAAUGGUCAAUCCGGGUGAUUGACACGUCUAUAGAACCGUCAGCGCCUCCCACGGACACCAUUCGCUAUCUGUGAGGGGGCGAACCCACUGUGAGGCCUUUUUUCCCCACCGCCAUUUGACAUGCGACUUCCGCAUGUGUGGUCGAAGUAGGACGGACCAGGCGGAUUAAUAUCUUGAAGUGACAAGCGGUCUUUGUGCUACGUUAACGAAAGCGGAUUCAUGGAUCAACACAUAACAUUUCCUGCAAAUACUUCGACGCCGCUGAAAAGAGCACAGAGUCGACGCAGCGGCCGGGUGAAUUUGAUGAUGAGGACGUCAUACAUCACUGGAGCGGAUCCAAAGACCAAACUUUCAACCACUGACAGAACAUCUGUGACGAUCGCAGGACGUCACCCCGUCAACUGGAUGUGCUGCAGUUCUCUCAAAGAUGCACACGUUGGUGCUCGGACAGGGAUCCAGGUUGUUUUAAGAUUAAAAACUGCCGUGGUCGACACGACGGCUGCUUGGAUCGACGUGAAGAAGGCGAAAGACUGUGCGGCUCUGAAACAAUCGCCACCUGACUUCCUCCCCGGGGAACUUUAGCACUUAAAGCCAAUCUCACCAGGGAGCGAGGGAGGGACGGACGAUGGAGCGGAGGCGGACGGCGGAGUGAUUGCACGAGGAAAAGGGAUGAAAAAGGGAAAGAAACAUGGAUGUGGAUGACGACGACGAUGAUGAUGAUGAUGAUGAUCACGACGUCGCGCCCCCGUCAGCGGGGACGGAGGCGACGCGAGGCCCGAGCGCUGCUUACAAAUCAUCCACGAAAGGGACGAGAGGAAAACAUGGAGAGGUGGGCCGAGAGACGAGGAGGGAUGGAGGGAGGAAGUGAAAGAUAAAGUGAGCACGGAGACGUGACUGAGGACGACAGCGAGCGAGAGGAUUCGGCGAAACGGAGCGCUGAGGAGAGUGAGAGGACGGCAAAGUCCCAGUAAUCAUCUCCUCAACUUAUCUCCCUUUCACAACAAAUCUCUCUCCUCUUCCUCCCCCUCCCUCUCUCCCUCCAUCUCUCCCUCCAUCUCCCUCCAUCUCCCUCCACCAGGCUUCCAGCUUCAGAGGCGAAGCUCCAUCUGAUCAAUAAUGGAUGCUGCUGUCUCCUACACUGCUGGAGAAGGGUCGGCACAUUAGGUAAUGCAGGGGCUACAUUUAACUGGAUGGGCUUGUUAAUGCGUCCCGCUGGGGAAACACCCUCCCUACGCCAUCCCCUCUCCCCCUUCUCUCUCUCACACACACACACACACACACACACACAGAAAUACACUUGCACACGCUAACUCACCCAUCCAGUCUGCUCCCUCACCCGCUAAUGUAACUUUUUCCACAGGAGGAAGAGGAGGAGGAGGAGGAGGAAGAGGAGGAGAGGCGGCGUCUGUGGAUGAUGGGUGAUGGAUGGAUUUGUUGGAGGGACACAAGGGGGGUUGAGCAAGGCGGCGUUCUCGUCGCCACGCUUGCUUAGCCUAAAAUAUAUAUGUAUGUUCUAUAUCAUUCUGGUCACAGGCGAAGAAAAGGAAAUGAAAGAAUUGUGAUAUUUACUAGUUAGAAUUCUUUCAUCGUGGCGAUGAGAUCACGUCAACGCAGCGACGCGGAGGACGAAAAAACGUCUGCGCCACUUGCGUCGCCCGUUGGAGUUUUGAGUGUUUUGAACCCAAAGCGAAAGAUUCGAGCGCCGCGAUGUGACGAAAGCCAAUCGGCGUCGAGAUUCUCCCGGACGCCCUGACGCGCACGAGUAAACUCGAAACGAUCCUGCAGCAAAAACCGUCGCGCGCGAGACGGUUUCUGUUCUUUUUGAAAGUUCUUGUGUCUGUUCAAGUGUCUCUGUCCAUUAUGUCCACGGUCUUGUACCUUGGACUUCUCCUAUAAAAGACACACCGUACAUAUAACGUACAUGUAAACGGUUUCGUGUCCAUCUAAAGCCUCUAAAGCUGGACACACGCUGUACAAGUCGAUGGAUGGAAAGACAGAGCUCACAGUUUAAUGUGAGCUCCCACUGUACGGUCCGAUUGACCAUGUCAUGAGUUGACUGCUCCCACCGGACGUACCAGAAACAUCCACUGCUGACUUCUGUCUCUGGUAUGACGGACAUGGUGGGAAGAGGAGGAAACAUCGAACAGGCUGACCUCCAUGUGUUCUGACGAGGCCGAGUUUUUGGAAUUCGACUUGAGACGACGCUUCGAUGGUGUGAGAGCCUGAAGACGACCGACCAAACAUCUUCUGACAGGUCAGAAAUUCGUCUGAUCGCUCAUAUCCUAUUUCCAGCUCGAGUGUGCCGACCGGCUGCACGGUGGCGUAGUGGUUUAGCGCUGUCACCUCACAGCGAGAAGGUUCUGGGUUCGAGUCCCGGUUCAAACCAACCAGGGCCUUUCUGUGUGGAGUUUGCAUGUUCUCCCCGUGUUUGCGUGGGUUCUCUCUGGGUUCUCCGUCUUCCUCCCACAGUCCAGAGACAUGCAGAAUGGGGUCAGGUUCAUUGGAGACUCUAACUUGACCGUAGGUGUGAAUGUGAGAGUGAAUGGUUGUUUGUCUCUGUAUGUGGCCCUGUGAUAGGAUGGCGACCUGUCCAGGGUGAACCCCGCCUCUCGCCCAAUGUCAGCUGGGAUUGGCUGCAGCCCCCCGGCACCCUUAAGUGGAUGAAGCGGUAGACGAUGGAUGGAUGGAGUCCCGUCCCGACCGCUCGUCACCUUGUGUCGUCAAUUCAGAAAAACGAGGAGGACUUUAACUUUUCCCCCGUCACAAUUAGCCGCUCUCUAGAAACACGUGCCCCCCUCGGAGUUCAAGGUGACUGAACUGAAGGAGACCGGACCCUCAUGUGACUCAAGUGAACGAGACAAGCGUGUUUUUACAUUCAAAUCUCUCCCGUGUGCAGAUUUAUGCCGGAGGUCUCGAAAGGCGUCGCCAUCAUCUUCUCAACGCGUUCUCCCUCUGUGCGAGCGGCCCCCGCUGUCCCCCCUCUCGGCCCCCGGAUGAAAACUAUGAUUGGUCCUCUGUGGGAAUUUUAAAGGCAGCCCUCAAUUAGGCGUCCGCGGGAGGUGCCUGUUCGCCCCCACUCUGCAUGCGGGCCCUCGGCUGGGGUCCUGAACCCGAGCUCCGUUCGGCUCUCGGACCCGUAUGCAAAGGAGAAGCCGAGGAAGGAGGAAGACGACCGUAUGAAUACAUCUGCAUGUGAGAGGGAGAUGGAGAGGAGCCGCAGAGCGUUUAGAGGACGGUGCUGCACUUGGACAUAUGGGAGUUAAUAUCUAUUAUUUUUAAUAACUAUAAAUGAGGAACUGUGUCUGCUUUGUAGAGGCCGUCAUUCAUGCGCUCCGCUGCUUUUAGAUGUUUUAUAUUCAAACCUUCAGAGCAUUAAAAAAUAUUAUUGUGGAAACAACUUCAGAAGCUCGUUGGGCUCCAGAUGAAUUCUUGCUCAAAUUUUACGAGACGACGUGGUGAGCAGCGAAAUUCGACGACUGGAAAGUCGAGUUUAGGAUUUCUCGAAAGUGAUGUUUUGUAAAAAAAAAAGAAAAAAAGAUUUAGUUACGUAAAUCAGUACGAAAUUUACUGUGAGAGAUUUACUUGGUGCUCAGUUUGACGCGACUGAUUUGUGAGUCAGCUCCAGAUGGAAGCGAGCAAAGACAACGGAGGAGAAGAAGAAGGGAAGUCCGGCAGACGUACGAGAGGAGGACACAGUGGGUGAGGAGGAGGAGGAGGAGGAGGAUGAGGAGGAGGAGGAGGAGGAGGAGGAGGAUGAGGAGGAGGAGGAGGAGGAGGAGGAGGAGGAGGAGGAGGAGGAGGAGGAGGAGGAGGAGGAGGAGGAGGAGGAGGAGGAGGAGGAGGAGGAGGAGGAGGAGGAGGUGGAGGAGGAGGAGGAGGAGGAGGAGGAGGAGGAGGAGGAGGAGGUGGGGAGGAGGAGGAGGAGGAGGAGGAGGAGGAGGAGGUGGAGGAGGAGGAGGAGGAGGAGGAGGAGGAGGAGGAGGAGGAGGAGGAGGAGGAUGAGGAGGAGGAGGAAGAGGAGGAGGAGGUGGAGGAGGAGGAGGAGGUGGAGGAGGAGGAGGAGGAGGAGGAUUCAAAGUGGCCUCCCCCCUUCGUGUGGUGCCUAAUGACUCCUGAUGGUCGAGGGAAGCAGGAGGGGGAGGGGGGGAGAGGAGGUGAGGGGUGAGGAGGGGCGGCAGGUGUGACUGUCAUAACCAAUAUCUGACACACACCUCAUGCUUCACUAUUCACACACACACACACACACACCUUAACUUCAUCUGGCCUCUUUUUCAUCGUGG
rnacentral:lncRNA from 1 species